rnacentral:rRNA from 1 species
AACGAACGCUGGCGGCAGGCUUAACACAUGCAAGUCGGACGCACCGCAAGGUGAGUGGCAGACGGGUGAGUAACGCGUGGGAACCUACCCUUUGGUACGGAACAGCUCCGGGAAACUGGAAUUAAUACCGUAUGCGCCCUGAGGGGCAAAGAUUUAUCGCCAAGGGAUGGGCCCGCGUCGGAUUAGCUAGUUGGUGAGGUAACGGCCCACCAAGGCGACGAUCCGUAGCUGGUCUGAGAGGAUGAUCAGCCACACUGGGACUGAGACACGGCCCAGACUCCUACGGGAGGCAGCAGUGGGGAAUAUUGGACAAUGGGCGCAAGCCUGAUCCAGCCAUGCCGCGUGAGUGAUGAAGGCCCUAGGGUUGUAAAGCUCUUUCGCCCACGACGAUAAUGACGGUAGUGGGAGAAGAAGCCCCGGCUAACUUCGUGCCAGCAGCCGCAGUAAAAC